rnacentral:rRNA from 1 species
CCUACGGGAGGCAGCAGUGAGGAAUAUUGGUCAAUGGACGAGAGUCUGAACCAGCCAAGUAGCGUGCAGGAUGACUGCCCUAUGGGUUGUAAACUUCUUUUAUACGGGAAUAAAACGCUCCACGUGUGGGAUUUUGUAUGUACCAUAUGAAUAAGGAUCGGCUAACUCCGGGCCAGCAGCCGCGGUAAUACGGAGGAUCCGGGCGUUAUCCGGAUUUAUUGGGUUUAAAGGGAGCGUAGGUGGGUUGUUAAGUCAGUUGUGAAAGUUUGCGGCUCAACCGUAAAAUUGCAGUUGAAACUGGCAGUCUUGAGUACAGUAGAGGUAGGCGGAAUGCGUGGUGUAGCGGUGAAAUGCUUAGAUAUCACGAAGAACUCCGAUUGCGAAGGCAGUUCACUGGACUGCUACUGACACUGAGGCUCGAAAGUGUGGGUAUCAAACAGGAUUAGAUACCCCAGUAGUC